rnacentral:lncRNA from 1 species
AUAGUAGUUAAUCCCGGAUCCCGGAGCGGAGCGGCCAGCCCCAAAACUGGGAUAGCGGCAUCCCGGGGAGCGGGAUGGCCGGGAUGCCGCUAUUAUUUUUUAUUUAUUUAUAAAUUACAUAAAUAAUANNNNNNNNNNNGUCUAAUCAUCCGAGGUUGAAGAAGAAACAACAGAUGAAGGUUGAAGAAGAAACAGCAGAUGAAGGUUGAAGAAGUUUGGAUCUUGAGAGUGAGAGAAGAUAGUACGAUAGCGUGAGAGAAAGAAUGAAUUAGGCUAGGGUUUAGUUAGGAGUAAGUAACAAUUUUAAAGGUAAAAAACCAAUUUUACCCUUACUAAAAUGAGUGAGAUUUCAAAAAUGGCCUUUAAAACCCAUGAAAACAAAAUCUCAGUCCUAACCCGGGAUGGCAACCUGGGACCCGCUCCGCUCCGGUCCACUGGGAACCUGCUGGGAUCCCACCGAGAAGCUUAGCUGCGCCGCUCCAUCCCAUCCCGUCCCGGCAGAGCUCCGCUCCGCUCUGCUCCACCGGGAUCCCACUGGGAUCGCCCGGGAUUGACUACCAUGAUUU